UGGGCGUUAAGUUGCAGGGUAUAGACCCGAAACCCGGUGAUCUAGCCAUGGGCAGGUUGAAGGUUGGGUAACACUAACUGGAGGACCGAACCGACUAAUGUUGAAAAAUUAGCGGAUGACCUGUGGCUGGGGGUGAAAGGCCAAUCAAACCGGGAGAUAGCUGGUUCUCCCCGAAAGCUAUUUAGGUAGCGCCUCGUGAAUUCAUCUCCGGGGGUAGAGCACUGUUUCGGCUAGGGGGCCAUCCCGGCUUACCAACCCGAUGCAAACUGCGAAUACCGGAGAAUGUUAUCACGGGAGACACACGGCGGGUGCUAACGUCCGUCGUGAAGAGGGAAACAACCCAGACCGCCAGCUAAGGUCCCAAAGUCAUGGUUAAGUGGGAAACGAUGUGGGAAGGCCCAGACAGCCAGGAUGUUGGCUUAGAAGCAGCCAUCAUUUAAAGAAAGCGUAAUAGCUCACUGGUCGAGUCGGCCUGCGCGGAAGAUGUAACGGGGCUAAACCAUGCACCGAAGCUGCGGCAGCGACACUGUGUGUUGUUGGGUAGGGGAGCGUUC
rnacentral:rRNA from 1 species